UGGGGAAUUUUGGACAAUGGGCGCAAGCCUGAUCCAGCCAUGCCGCGUGUCUGAAGAAGGCCUUCGGGUUGUAAAGGACUUUUGUCAGGGAAGAAAAGGAUAGGGUUAAUACCCCUGUCUGAUGACGGUACCUGAAGAAUAAGCACCGGCUAACUACGUGCCAGCAGCCGCGGUAAUACGUAGGGUGCGAGCGUUAAUCGGAAUUACUGGGCGUAAAGCGGGCGCAGACGGUUACUUAAGCAGGAUGUGAAAUCCCCGGGCUCAACCUGGGAACUGCGUUCUGAGCUGGGUGACUAGAGUGUGUCAGAGGGAGGUAGAAUUCCACGUGUAGCAGUGAAAUGCGUAGAGAUGUGGAGGAAUACCGAUGGCGAAGGCAGCCUCCUGGGAUAACACUGACGUUCAUGCCCGAAAGCGUGGGUAGCAAACAGGAUUAGAUACCCUGGUAGUCCACGCCCUAAACGAUGUCGAUUAGCUGUUGGGCAGCUUGACUGCUUAGUAGCGAAGCUAACGCGUGAAAUCGACCGCCUGGGGAGUACGGUCGCAAGAUU
rnacentral:rRNA from 1 species